rnacentral:rRNA from 1 species
AUUGAACGCUGGCGGCGUGCUUAACACAUGCAAGUCGAUCGGUAACGGGUGUAGCAAUACAUGCUGACGAGAGGCGGACGGGUGAGGAACGCUUGGGAAUCUGCCUAUCAGCGGGGGACAACCCGGGGAAACCCGGGCUAAUACCGCAUACGCUCUACGGAGGAAAGCCGGGGACCGCAAGGCCUGGCACUGAUAGAUGAGCCCAAGCCGGAUUAGCUAGUUGGCGGGGUAACGGCCCACCAAGGCGACGAUCCGUAGCUGGUCUGAGAGGACGAUCAGCCACACCGGAACUGAGACACGGUCCGGACUCCUACGGGAGGCAGCAGUGGGGAAUAUUGGACAAUGGGCGAAAGCCUGAUCCAGCGACGCCGCGUGGGUGAAGAAGGCCUGCGGGUUGUAAAGCCCUUUCGGUAGGGACGAAAGCUCUCGACCUAACACGUCGGGAGGUUGACUUAACCUACAAAAGAAGCACCGGCUAACUCUGUGCCAGCCGCCGCCGUAAUAC